UUACAAGAAAUGCAAUCAGGGGGAGCAGAAUGACGCAGAGGAGUCUGGAAGCUCAGGAUUGCAUUAAGCGACUUUCCCAUAGUGUGAGGAGAUGUGGUGGGGACCAUUAACUGUUGGAAGGAUUCCUUUUAAGGAUGCAUUAUAUCAAGAGCUAGAUAUCAGAGCCACUUGGGAGAAAUAAGAAACAGGUGUAGAAACAGGAUUGGUAGACAACAUGUUCAUGCAAAUGAUAUGAAGAAGAUUGGCACCUGGAAAAUCAAGGAAGAGGUGGGGCCGUGUAGGCAGAGACUUAAUUUUCUCAAGUGAAUGAAGAAAAAAGCACAUGGUGAGGCUGAUUCUGUGGGGAUGUAUUUGAGCUAGAAGAUUCAGGAGGGAAAAUUAGUUCUAAGACAAAGAUGGAGACAUCAAUAAGAUUGGGAAAUACUCAGACGUCAGAAGAAUUUGGGUUUGAAUCAGAAUUCCUUUACAUACUUUCUAAGUUUCAAGUUAAGCAGCAAUUCAGUGUUUCAAACCUUACGAUUGAUAAACAAAAAAUAAAAUGAAAUUCACGUCGCAGAUUGGCAUGAGCUGUGGAGAAAGAGUCUGGAUUCUGGGUUGCUGUGUCACACACAGCCCACUUGCAGGAUGACAGUGGAAGAAUGAGUCAUGAUCUCUGCAAGCGCCCAUCAAGAACAGCCUGAGAGGUCUGGAAAGUGCUCACCCCAGGACCCUUCAUGUCCUUAUUAAAAUUGUAUGGCAGAAAAA
rnacentral:lncRNA from 1 species